rnacentral:rRNA from 1 species
UGACGGUACCCUACUAGAAAGGAGCCGCUAACUUCGUGCCAGAAGCGUCGGUAAUACGGGGGCUCCAAGCGUUAUCCGGUGUUAUUGGGCGUAAAGAGUCGUGUAGGUGGUUGGGUAAGUUAUCUUUCAAAUAUCUUUGCUUAACAAAGAGGAGGGGGAUAAUACUGCUCGACUAGAAUUUUCUCAAGGGAGAUCGGAACUGAGGGAGGAGUAGUGAAAUGCGUUGAUACCCUCGGGAACACCAGUGGCGUAGGCGGAUCUCUGGGAGAAGAUUGACACUGAGACACGAAAGCUAGGGGAGCGAAGCAGAUUAGAGACCUGCGUAGUCCUAGCCGUAAACGCAUGCUUGCUAGCUGCAUGAAUCUACCUUCGGGUGGUAUCGUGUGGCGAAGGUAACCCGUUAAGCAAGCCGCCUGGAAAGUACGGCCGCAAGGCUGAAAUUCAAAGGAAUUGGCGGGGAGGCACACAACCAGUGGAACAUGUGGUUUAAUUCGAGACUAACCGAAGAACCUCACCAGGGUUUGACAUGUAGCUGCACGUCUUAAGAAAUUAAGACUCUCUUGAAGGUGCUACACAGGUGCUGCAUGGCUGUCGUCAGCUCGUUCCGUGAGGAGUGCCCUUAAGUGGGACAACGAGCGCAACCCCUAUUACAUGUUAGAAAUGUCAUGUAAGACUGCCUUGCCAUUUGGCGGGGAGGAAGGAGGGGCAGACGUCAAGUCCGCAUGGUCCUUAUGCCCUGGGCUACACACAUGUUACAAUGAGUACGGCAAUGAGUCUGUCGCGAGCACGUAAGUGUAGGCUAAUCUCUUAAAUGUACUCUCAGUGGGGAUUGAGGUCUGCAACUCGACCUCAUGAACACGGAAUUGGUAGUAAUCGCGGGUCAGCUAUACCGCGGUGAAUACGUUCUUGCCUCUUGCACACACCGCCCGUCAAACCAGCAAAGUCGAUUGUAUCCGAACCUC